rnacentral:rRNA from 1 species
UACGCAGGUGGCAAGCGUUGUCCGGAAUUAUUGGGCGUAAAGCGCGCGCAGGCGGUCCUUUAAGUCUGAUGUGAAAGCCCACGGCUCAACCGUGGAGGGUCAUUGGAAACUGGGGGACUUGAGUGCAGGAGAGAAGAGUGGAAUUCCACGUGUAGCGGUGAAAUGCGUAGAGAUGUGGAGGAACACCAGCGGCGAAGGCGACUCUUUGGUCUGUAACUGACGCUGAGGCGCGAAAGCGUGGGGAGCAAACAGG